UACGAAGGGGGCUAGCGUUGUUCGGAAUCACUGGGCGUAAAGCGCACGUAGGCGGAUGAUUAAGUCAGUGGUGAAAUCCCCAAGCUUAACUUGGGAACUGCCGUUGAUACUAUCUGUCUUGAAUACCGUGGAGGUGAGCGGAAUAUGUCAUGUAGCGGUGAAAUGCUUAGAUAUGACAUAGAACACCAAUUGCGAAGGCAGUUCGCUACACGAAUAUUGACUCUGAGGCACGAAAGCGUGGGGAUCAAACAGG
rnacentral:rRNA from 1 species